rnacentral:lncRNA from 1 species
GCCCCGUCUUUUCGCGCCAUCCUCUCACCUUCAGGCAGACACGUGAAGACAGCCCCAAAUCUCACCAACCCAAAGGAUGCCCAGCAUUUCUUUUGCCAGUUCUUAGAAUGAUCUGCUAGCAAUUUUCUGAAGUCCAACCAAUCCACUGGGCACACUCCUUUGAAGAACUUUCCAGAAAACUGCACAUACAUGGAACUAAUUGCCUACAACUUCAGGGGUGUCUCGGGUCUUGUGAAGCAUUUUGUGUAUUCCAGUCUAAGCACUGCUGUUCAGGAACCUCACCAAACAAGGCUCUGCAAGUGCAGACACUGCUCCUCUGGUUCACCAAGCUUCCCUCUCCUCCUCUCCUCCCGGCACUCUCCCUACAAGUUCCGAAGAGGACAGCAGUA